rnacentral:rRNA from 14 species
UUCCUGCGCAACGCUAAUCGGCGCAGGGUGAGUCGGCCCCUAAGGCGAGGGCGAAAGCCGUAGUCGAUGGGAAGCAGGUUAAUAUUCCUGCACCGGCGGGUAGUGACGGAUUCUGGAAGUUGUCAGUCCUUAUCGGAUUGGAUUGGCAGCCAAGGCGUCCCAGGAAAUAGCUCCCGCAUUAGACCGUACCCCAAACCGACACAGGUGGACUGGUAGAGUAUACCAAGGCGCUUGAGAGAACUAUGCUGAAGGAACUCGGCAAAUUGCUCCCGUAAGUUCGCGAGAAGGGAGACCUGUACUUGGGCAACCAGGUAUAGGUGGCACAGAAAUGGGGGUGGCGACUGUUUAUCAAAAACACAGGG